rnacentral:rRNA from 1 species
UACGUAGGGGGCAAGCGUUGUCCGGAUUUAUUGGGCGUAAAGAGCGUGUAGGCGGCUUCACAGGUCCGCUGUGAAAAACUCGAGGCUCAACCUCGAGAUGUCGGUGGAAACCGUGUGGCUAGAGUCCGGAAGAGGAGAGUGGAAUUCCCGGUGUAGCGGUGAAAUGCGCAGAUAUCGGGGAAGAACACCCGUGGCGAAGGCGGCUCUCUGGGACGGUACUGACGCUGAGACGCGAAAGCGUGGGGAGCGAACAGG